UCAGUACAGCAACUAUAUCAACACAGCAAACAUUGACUACUGGGAUAACUACAAAAGUAACAAUUAACACAAAGCCCAUAACUGUUAUAACUGGUUCAGAUAUAACUACAACCUCUCCUCAGACAUCUAUCCCACAAGUUACAACUACUGUAACAACAGGAACACCACAUGUAUCUACUUCCUCACCUAGAAGUCCAAUCACCACAAUGUGUUUUUGUAUAAUAAAUGGGAAGCACUAUCAACCAGGAGAAACAAUAUUGAACAAGACUGACAUUGGAUCAGGUAUUUGUCUGACCAUGAAUUGUUCAGCUAGAUGUGAAAUUCAAAACACAACAGAACUGUGUGGACAGACAUCCCCUUCACCCACUCCAUACUAUGAUUGUCCACCGUGGGAAGUAAAUACAAAUGAGACCUUUAUGCUUGAGACCUGUAACUGCACCAUGGCCAGGUGCAUUGAAGACAACAUUAUAGAGAUCAUCCCUUAUGAG